GACGAACGCUGGCGGCGUGCUUAACACAUGCAAGUCGAACGGAAAGGCCCCUUUGGGGGUACUCGAGUGGCGAACGGGUGAGUAACACGUGAGUAACCUGCCCUUGACUUCGGGAUAACUUCAGGAAACUGGGGCUAAUACCGGCUAGGAAUCCUUGCUGCAUGGUGGGGGUUGGAAAGCUUCGGCGGUUUUGGAUGGACUCGCGGCUUAUCAGCUUGUUGGUGGGGUAGUGGCUUACCAAGGCUUUGACGGGUAGCCGGCCUGAGAGGGCGACCGGCCACAUUGGGACUGAGAUACGGCCCAGACUCCUACGGGAGGCAGCAGUGGGGAAUAUUGCACAAUGGGCGGCAGCCUGAUGCAGCAACGCCGCGUGCGGGAUGACGGCCUUCGGGUUGUAAACCGCUUUCAGCAGGGGCGAAGCUUGUGGUGACGGUACCUGCAGAAGAAGCACCGGCUAACUACGUG
rnacentral:rRNA from 1 species